AUUGAACGCUGGCGGCAGGCUUAACACAUGCAAGUCGAGCGGGGUGAAGUGCUUCGGUACUGAUCCUAGCGGCGGACGGGUGAGUAAUGCUUAGGAAUCUGCCAUUUAGUGGGGGACAACACUCCGAAAGGAAUGCUAAUACCGCAUACGUCCUACGGGAGAAAGCAGGGGAUCUUCGGACCUUGCGCUAAUAGAUGAGCCUAAGUCGGAUUAGCUAGUUGGUGGGGUAAAGGCCUACCAAGGCGACGAUCUGUAGCGGGUCUGAGAGGAUGAUCCGCCACACUGGGACUGAGACACGGCCCAGACUCCUACGGGAGGCAGCAGUGGGGAAUAUUGGACAAUGGGCGGAAGCCUGAUCCAGCCAUGCCGCGUGUGUGAAGAAGGCCUUUUGGUUGUAAAGCACUUUAAGCGAGGAGGAGGCUACCUAGAUUAAUACUCUGGGAUAGUGGACGUUACUCGCAGAAUAAGCACCGGCUAACUCUGUGCCAGCAGCCGCAGUAAUAC
rnacentral:rRNA from 1 species